UACGUAGGGGGCUAGCGUUGUCCGGAAUCAUUGGGCGUAAAGAGCGUGUAGGCGGUCCGGUAAGUCCGCUGUGAAAGUCGGGGGCUCAACCCUCGAAUGCCGGUGGAUACUGUCGGGCUAGAGUACGGAAGAGGCGAGUGGAAUUCCCGGUGUAGCGGUGAAAUGCGCAGAUAUCGGGAGGAACACCUAUGGCGAAGGCAGCUCGCUGGGACGUUACUGACGCUGAGACGCGAAAGCGUGGGGAGCAAACAGG
rnacentral:rRNA from 1 species